UCCGUUCCAUAAGUCAUAAGAUAAUGUUUUUUACUAUAAAUAUUGCUUUAUAUGUAUAUCCAAGCCAUGAAGCAUAUCCAGCCUCAGGCACAUUAGUUCAAGCCUUCAAGCACAAAAAUGAUAACCAUUGUUGCUUCUUACAAUGUCACUCCAAAUCAGCCAACUCCCAGUGAUCCUAUUUGGCUAUCCGAUAGUGAUCAAAUUGGGAACCUACGUCAUGUAAACACUAUCUAUGCCUACAAAUCAAGACCCAACAACACCAUUGAUAUUGAGAGGAUGAAGAACUCUCUUAGCAAGAUUUUGGUGCCAUACUAUCCAAUAGCUGGCAGAUUAAAGCUGACAAAAAAUGGUAGAAUGGAAGUGGAUUGCAAUGCAAAAGGAGUGACAUUGAUUGAAGCUGAAAGCACAGCCACAUUUGGUUGAUUAUACCAUGGAACUUGUUCCAAAAGUUGAUUAUACUCGACCCUCAGAGGACAUGCCGCUAAUGCUAGUGCAGUUAACAAGGUUCUGUGGUGGUGAAGGUCUUGCCAUUGGAGUUGCUUUCUCUCAUCCUUUGGUUGAUGGUGCUGCCGCUACUUUCUUCAUCAACCGAUGGGCAAAGCUGGUUCGAGGCGAAGAACUGAAGCCCGAUGAAGUUCCUUUUCUUGAUCGAACACUACUCAAAUUUCCAGAGCCAUCAGAACCAUGUGUUGAUCUCCCAGAGUGGAAGCCUGUAAGGUUCAUGCCAGACAACAUUGCUGAGCAAAACAAGAUAAGUGCUAUAUUGUUGAAACUCUCAUCAAGCCAAGUGGAGAAGCUGAAGAAGAAGGCUAAUGAACAACCUUCAAAAGAAGGGGUAAGACCUUAUAGCAGAUUUGAAGCUAUUUCUUCUCAUAUAUGGAGAUGUGCAUCUAAGGCUCAUCACGCUCAUGCAUCUGAUGAGAAUCACCAACCAACUGUAGUUAUGUUUAGUGUUGAUAUUCGCAGUAGAUUGAAUCCACCUCUCCCUCAUAAUUAUUUUGGGAAUGCUUUGGCAAAAACAGUGACACCUAAGUGUAGUGUGGGAGAUAUCUUAUCAAACCCAUUAAGCUAUGGGGCUCAAAAGAUAAGGGAUGCGGUUUAUGCGGUUACAUAUGAGUUUAUAAGGUCACACUUAAGUGUUGUUUUAGGGCAAGAGCAAUUGGAUAACAUAAGGGCUUUUUUCUCGGGACAAGGAGACAUUAUUGGUGUACCCUAUUCUGGGAAUCCUCAUAACAUUCUCCUCACAAGCUGGAUGAGCUUGCCAGUGUAUGAUGCAGAUUUUGGUUGGGGAAAGCCUGUGCACUUUGGUUUAGCAAAAGUAUUUCGAGAAGUUAGGGCACAUAUUAUUAUAAGCCCUGAUGGAGAUGGUGUUCUUAUUUCCAUGAAUUUCCUGACAGCACUUAUGGAUCUUUUUAAAAAAUUCUUCUACGAGGAUAUAUGAAGAAAUAUCCAUACCAAACCAGCUUUGUGCAAGGAAGAAUUACAUGUGACUCGUCAUUUUCUUUGAUCAAUAAUUUACAUGUGAUUUACCGUUUAAUAUGUUAAAUAAUUAAAGAUCCUGUUUUUAUUACGUGA